rnacentral:rRNA from 1 species
UACGUAGGCAGCGAGCGUUGUUCGGAAUUACUGGGCGUAAAGAGUGUGUAGGCGGUGCUCUAAGUUCGGUGUGAAAUCUCCCGGCUUAACUGGGAGGGUGCGCCGGAAACUGGAGUGCUCGAGCGUGGGAGAGGAAAGCGGAAUUCCUGGUGUAGCGGUGAAAUGCGUAGAUAUCAGGAGGAACACCUGUGGUGUAGACGGCUUUCUGGACCAUAGCUGACGCUGAGACACGAAAGCGUGGGUAGCAAACAGG